CACACACACACACAUGCUCUCUCUCUGGCUCAUACACACACUCUGCUCCGUGAGGGAGCAGUCGCUGAAGAGCUCUGGAUAGACCAUGCGUGGUUCUGCAGGUGUCCCACCCUUCUCUCAUCACAUGGAUGCUUUAGAAGUGCACGGUGCAAGAAACGAUGGGAGGGAGCAGGGGAUGAAAUAAGACAUGCACAAAGAUCCCCGGUCUGACUCCAAACGAGGAUGUCGUAGCUACAAGGUAUGUUCUUCCGCCAAAUUAACCACCACGACGGUCCUGAUGUGUAUUACUUUAAGGAAGGCUCCACACGCACAUUACAUAUAUGGGUUGUGGACAUGUUAAACUCGGCACGCUAUAGGACUUGUGCAUGCCAUUAAAUGUGUGAACAAGAGAGAUGUACAUGUUGCUCAGUCAGCUAUUGCACAGAGAGAGACCAUCAAUCACAAAUGCAUGGUGAGCCGCAUUGCUCUUUUCCUGGUCCCUCAAGUCCUUUCUCUGGGCUGGAAUUACACAGCAUUUUACCUGCAACACUGCAUUUUUCUGGACUUUGUCUUUACCCUGCACCGUAACUCAAGCAACACAUUUGUGCGCUGCCAUGUCUUUUUAAACUGACGAGAGGUGAAGUUUUAUAGUGCAACUUAUAAAUCAGCCCUAUAUAUUGUACACAGUUUCUAUUAGGAUUUGAUUCUCUAGUCGCAGUAAAAUGUGCAAAGGGGGAAGUCCGUAAUGUUUGUGGUUUCUACACUGUCUUAAAAUAACGGUAUAAGUACAACAUAGGUUAUUGAAGGCCCUUCCCUUGCUGCAACUACUGUGAGCCUUUUAUUAGUCUCACAACAAGACUUCUCCAUGCCUGCUUGACAUCUUGUUUCCCUGCAUGUACCUGAUGUCAGUUGUUAAAGAACGCUGCGUGCACCUCACCCAAUAUGAACUACUCUUUUCUUUUGUCCUUAUGUUUCACCAAUAUUGUCAAUAGGUACAUUCUUCCUAUGUAUUUUACCAUUUUGUAUAUCUUAUUAGGUAAUUUAUAUUAUCUCAUAAAACUCCCUCAUUUGCCGUUUUGAAUUAUGUAGAACAUUUUAAAAGAACACUUCGUCAAACAAAGCAGUUAACUAUAGCUCUAUGGUAUGGGCAAAAGCCAGCUGUAUUUGAUAGAUGAACGUUGAGACCUUGGGCUUUGGAUAAGACACGAGUAUGCUGAGGGCUACGGUUUUGGAGAGCGCGUGUGAUAAUCAGCAGGUGGACUGGUUGUUGUUGUGAUAAGAGCAGGUGAUUUUUCAUGCGGUCAAGGUCCUGUCUUUCAGACAGUUUGAUCAGCUGAAAGGUUCACUUCAUAUUUAUCUCCUGAAUUAAGUAGACAACUUACCAUGUGUCUGUCUCUCUAAAACUAUUCAUUAAGGUAUCUAUCGAGUAGUAGAAAAUAAAAUAGAGAAAAGAUUAUCAAAUGAAUGAAACGUUUAGCUGUAUUGUAAAGUGUCUAUUAAGACACCUGCAGAUGUGUUUGGGGUCUUACUGAAGUGAUGCAGUGCCUGGGUUGUCAAGAAAUGCUCUUUGUAAAGGUCACAUGUUACUGCUUGCUAUGUUGUGAUGCGGCCAAUAAAACAACCAAUAACUGGCCCUGUGAAACAUGCAUUCAUUACAAUGUUUUGUCAAGGGUUUUAUCCUCACUAUUGAAAAUAUGUCAUUUAAAGAAACAUAAAAUAAUCUUACAGCCUCAUUUAUGAAAGUGUGAAACUACAUACUUAAGUAAUGACUUAACCACAAACCCAUAAUUCAGCAGACCUUAAUAAGCGACUAUAAGAUUAGAUAUGACCGAAGUUCCUUCUGCUUUUGUCGGAUCUGCAAGUUUGAAAGUAUACAUCCCUGUUGCUCACGGUGAGCCAUGUGCUAACAUUGUGAAUGCCUUCAUAAGCAUACAGUACAUACAGAAGUUAAUACACACAAUGAUACAGUGUAAGUUCCCUCACUAUUAAAACUGUGGUGUUUUCCUUCAGCUAACAAAGGAGCAGAAGCUUUGUAUCAAAUUUAUAAGGCAAAUUGAUUAUAAAGAUUGCUGAAAUUCAAUAUUUUUACAAGACUUAAAUAAUCAUAUUACGGGAACUGAAUAUAUUUAAGUUUCAUUUCGAGAACUAUUUUAUAACUGUGACCCAUGUUUAAGAGAAUAGAGGUGAUAUUCUAUUGUUCCCUAUUAAGCUUUGAAAAAAUAAGAUUUUACUUUAUAUAUCAUUUGGUGAUACUGUAUUUGGGUAAGGGGAGAAGUUGAUGAGAUAGCAAGGCCUCAUUCAGUGCCGGUGCCGUUUGUUAAAUCAAGGUAAUGAACAGGGACCAUGAAAUGACCAAAGGCCGAUAACAUAAUGUUCCCUUGGAACAGGCCAGUUGUCCAUUGGGCCUAAAUCGACUCAUUUACAUGAGACAUAAAUUCACAUUUAAAUGGCAGAAAAUUGCUCGGGUGGCUGAUACACUGGGGCAUAUGCAAUUAUAAUUGUAGUCAGCCGCGUGUUUGUGUGUGUGGGUGAUAUAAGAUUGAAGAGAUGUGUGGGGGAAUUAUGUGUCCAAUAACUGAGAUGGGAUGUAAAUAUGGUCAGGACAGCCAGUAGUCUGAUGUGCUACCGGCCCAUUUCAUCUGAGACUGCAAUGCAGGGGCUAAAUGGCAGCCAGUCCCACACCGAACGGAUGGCAAAUCAAAACAGGUCUCCAUAGUACUAUCGAGAAGUGUUUUAUAUGAAGUAACUAGUCUAUGCUGCUGAUUAUUUUCUUGAUUAUUCACUGUGAAAUCACAUGACUGUAAAAUGUCAAAAAUAUUUCAAAAAUAUUUGAAAAUGUCCAAGAUGAUGUCUCUAAAUAUCUUGUUUUGUCCAACCAACAGUCCAAAAACCAAAGAUAAUCUCUUCACUGUGAUAUAAAUGAGAAAAACGGCGAAUCCUCCCAUAGGAGAGGUUGGAACCAGAAAUUGUUUUGUAUUUUUUUGCUUUAACAAUUGAUUUGCUGAUGAAUUUUCUGUCGGUCAAACAAUCGACCACUUGUUGCAGCUAUUAAGUUUAGUAAUCCUGGUUUAUAACUGCGUACGACCACUGACAAAAAACACAAUCAAUCCAAACUCUGAAACAUUUUCACUUCAGUUUCAUAUGAUACACAUUCUAUCUGUUUUCAUGUGCGUCUCAUUGUCCUUAUAGUUGACGUGGCAUCAAUUACUUGCUGCCUUUUACUCAAAGACAUUGUGCCCCCUCCUCAUCCUACUAUCCCUCUUUCCCUCAGUGCAGUUUUUUUCCUUUCACCUCUCCUCUAACGGGAAAGCUGGAACAAAUACACAUGUCACAUCAGUUCAUGGAGAUCCCAAUUGUUUUUAGCCAGUGUGCACCUCUAAGAGGUCUAUGGGUUGCCUGUGUUUCUCAGCAUGGCUUCGUAUACGCAAACGCAACCCCGACCUCACACAAGCCUUGCACACCAUGCUGAACAUGCACUCAGAUUUACAGACUCAUACAUUGUACAUGCACAUUGCAUUUCUCUGUAUUCACUCUCACACACUGUUUUCUAUCUAAAUCUCACCACAUGUCAUUCAGUCCAAACUGGACCAUCAACACACAUUACAAUAUGGCUCACCAGGAGGCCCCUUACAGACCUGUUUCAUAAUUUGGGCUGCUCUGUGUAUUGUAUCGGCCUCCUUUGAUAAAUUUACCUCCAACUGAUACAAUGCCUCAGUCUUUUUGUUCGAGGAAGACAAUUGCUUGUACAGCGAAGGUCCUGGCCCUUAAUGAAGUGCUAAAGCUAUUGGGCACAAAGGUCGUUUUUUGCUCUUAACAUUAGAUGACAGCUAACGGCGCAGACAACACUGUGAAAGGAUGGAGACUAAAGUUCAUUUGGUGAUAUCAUUAUUUUAUUGUUCAGAGCUAUAUGUGGAAGCCAGUAAAGCGUAAAAACGAAUUUGUAACUGAAGACAACAAUUUGAAUAGGUUGUCAGUGUCAGACCAGUGAUGUGCAGCAGUAUUUUGACCUUCCCAUGCUUUCACCGUACCAUAAAUGGUAAAAUGUGGGGUUUGAGUAGCAUUAUUUGCUAAAAUAUUAUUUUGUCAUGGACUUAUUCAUAGUCUGUAAAGCAAAGGCUCUAUUGAGUGGUCACCAGUAUCAGUUUAGAUUGACCAUUUCAUUCCUCUGUCUUUGCUCCCUUUCCUUUCAGCUCUCUGGCUGUUCUGCUCUUUCUUUUCAAGUUAAAAGCAGAGCUCUUGACACCCAAGACUGCUGUAGGCAGAAUACAACUGCUUGUUGGGGUCAAAGGCUGAAGGCUGGUGAGUGGUGACCUGAGUGAGAGGCCUGGGUGCUAUCUGACCUCUAAGUGGGUGUGCGGCUGACCCUGGAGGAUACAGCUCAACAAAGGGAGGCACGUGCCUUGGCCCUGUCACCAUGGUAACACAGGACCUUUUUGGAACGGUGUGUGUGGGGGGGGGGCAGGGUCAAAGCUUGGUCUUUAUUCUGAUCGGUGUUAACCGUCUGCUGCCAAUUUGCUCGUAUAGAUAUAAGAGCGUGCCCACCACAGAAUAGGAUAUAUGUUUUACCCGUCUUGUGGGGGACAUAAAUCUGAUUACACAGUCAUAUUGUAGGGACUCACUUCCUUUUUGGGACACAAUGGGGACAAAAUUCAUGUCCUCAUAAUGUAAAUCGUUACAACUUAAGGUGAAGACUUGGUUUAAGGUAAGGGCAAGGUUAAGGGUUAGGCUGGUAGCGGUUAGGGUGAGUCUCCAGCAAAUGAAUGUAAGUCAAUGUUAUAUCCCCAAAUGUCGUGAAAGUGUGAAGAAUCUACGGACUGACUGGGUAAUCUCUGCAGGCAACUGUGAUGGUGCUUUAAAUUCUCACAAUCACCUGGAGAGAUUCUGCAGUUUGUCUUAUAUGCCUUAAAAGAACUUGCUAAUAUAAACCCUUAAACUGUGUCUUUUUUCAUCUCUGUUGUCUCUAUCACAAACCAUAUAAUGAAAAGUAUUUUUCAUCUUAGUGUCUUCUGCAACAUGUAAGGAGGAGACCCAACUGUUUACCAAAGGUUGGUUCAAAAACUGUCUACCUAUGUGAAAUGGUGAUCAAAGGGGAUUUCACGCUCUAGCUUAAGGUAAUGAUCAUUGCACAAUAGAAGAGAUGUUGCCAUGACACACAUUAGCUUGAUCUGUUCAUGCCUCACUAUUACAAGUCAAAACAAUUAGUGGGUGUUUUAAAAGAAGAAAAAGGGGUAUUAUUGAAUUACAGUCCUGAAUGAGGGCCAACAGGUGCAGUCCACCUGGAAGACGACAUGUUUCACACUUUAUACUUUGCCUCUUUGAUGCUGUGCAAGCUGCACGCUCACCACAGAUAACCAGCACCACCCUGAUCCUACAACAAUCCUGCCAUCCCCCUACAACACAGCGCUAUACCUAUAAUAGAUAUUACUCGUCAGCUUCCAUGUAAUGUAAUAUUUGACACAUCUGCAUUUCUUUUCUUCAUUGCCACAGUCAAUCCUCCUGUCUCUGGCCUGAGUCCUUUCCCCACGUUUACCCCUCCUCCACCUCUGCUUUUCCCGUCUCAUCCCCUUCUCCUUGUGUUCUGCUGAGUUUUGGUGAAAUCUCAGCUGGCAACUGUGAGUCGUUCACUAGCUGCUCUCACAAUGGCCUCUGGGAUUAUGCUAAACACAGCGCCUCGGCUGCUCUCCCCAUCGACCGGCGUCAGCGACGCCCUUUGGAGCACACAGGAAAGAGAUGGAGGGCUCUCAAUGAAGAUGUCACUGCAAUUACACAAGUGCAUUUCACAGGCACCCUCUCUGUCUGCUCUUCCUCCUCUCGCAUCCCCCUUCCCCACUUUUUAAAAAAUGUCUUUUCGACAGUCUUUUGAAGUGCACCCUCAUCUCUUGCAGCUCUUUCAUAAUGCAUGCCCACUUUGAAUUUGCAUGAAUUCACUUUCCAGAUGCUUCUGCUGCCAUCUUGACUUACAAUGAUGUGUACUGUACAGUAGCUAUUGAAUUAUUGUAGCAUGAAAAGAAUAAUAAUGGCUUGUUUUAAUGAGUAUUUUUGUGUCACUCAUCUUACCAUGAAGAGAUAUUGCAGAGGGUCAAAAUGUGUUGUGAACUCCUCACCUUUUGUUGCCCCUGCAGUUAUGUUGGGGUGAAGGAAGAACUUUCUGAUGUGGAUGAUACUGCAUCAGGAACUGAUUGGCUGAUGCUCAUUUGCCAACAGUACCUGAUGCAUUGCCUUCAGCAUCGAAAGAAACAUCAGAGUACUGGCUCCUUUUAUGCUCUGAAAAAUGUACCUCACUAGUGAAUUAGCCCUUUGUGUGUUGGGACACCAACACUUGUGCUUCGCCUCCGUGAUUUGCAAGCAUGACUUUCUCAUGUGGUUUCCAGGGAGGAACAGGACCUAGGGGAAUGUGCUCUCAUCCUCUCUUUCAUAAAUCUUGGAUAACCUCUUCUAUUAAUCUCUAUAAGCUACUUUGAUUAAUCAAGUGCUUUAUCUCAAUGUCUCUGUCUUUUUUGUGCAUCUGUUAAAUAGCUUGCCAAGUAAAAUAAACUUUUAAUGAAGAGUCGAGCCUUUGCGCAGUUAUUUUUUUGGGUCAUCCAUGUUUUAUUUGCAUAUUCUGUAGUUUAUUCUUGUAUAGUUUUGAUGUGUUUAACCCGGUAAACGCUCUCUGAUUGCAAGUUAAGCACUCGCCUUAAAGAUUAAAUACUGGACUUGUGUCUUGGUAGAAAAUAAUCUGAUUUCUGCCAGGAAAAGACAUGAGUUUGACCCUGCACCUGCAGGGUAUCGCACCAUGCACAAUCUAUCUGCAAUCCUCAUGUCAUCCACACCCUGUGAGGAAAGGUCAGAAGGUCAGCAUUAAAGGAGGUGGCGCCAAGUCCAUUUCUAUCCACUUGUAUCAGCAAGCAGUUGGCACACACACAUGCCUACGCACACACAAACACAAUCACUUCCUGUCUCUUCGCCCAUGGGAAAUCCAGGAAGCCAUGCCAAUUCCAGCAGAUGUUCCUGAAGCGCAGGCAUCUUGUAAACACCAUGAAAUGUAUUGGAGGCUAAUGUAAUGGUUGCUGACGGAGGUCUUCAACACACGAUUUGAUUUUAACACCUGCUGCACACACAUACUGUACAUAUCCCCCACAGCAUGACAGGGUAUGCAUGUUACAACCCCAAAAGUCAUGGAGGUUCAUUCUUAAAAUAACAUGCAGAAAUGGUGUAGAGUAGACUAUAAAAACUGAAAGGGGUAUGACCCCACAUUUCCUCUUCACUUCAAACUCCCUACAGUGUUGUUAAAAGAACACUGGUACAAUAAACAUAGACAUAUUUUAUGAAAGCUUAAUUGAAUAAUCUAUAAUGUGUUAAUACAGCAAUAAAUUAUAGGUUUAAUGUUUAAUGUAUGGGAGCCAAAGCAGACAUAUUGGUAACCUUAACUCAUUUUACUUUGGUUUCUUAUUAUGGGAAUAUGUUUCUGUGCAGCAAUAUAAUGAGUAAGGUGUAAUAAUGGA